GGAGUUUGGUGGAGUGUGGGGAGGUUUUUUGGGGUGAGGGAGGGGCACUGCCGGAGGAGUGCAGGAUUAGUGAGGUCCGGGCCAAGCGGGUGAGAUUCGGUGGCGUGGAAGUGGAAAAUUGGGGUGGUGUUCUUUUGGGGGAUUGGUUCGUGUGGCUUAGAAGGUUGACUUACCGCGGUGGCGAUGCUGGAGGCUACAGAAGAUGGGAGUGAUUCAAGGCUUGCCUCGUCAGGAAGAGAGGAGUCUCCUGCAGCGACUAGCAAGCCAAAUGUUGAUGAUCGGUUGGUCUACAAGCUGGUCAAGGUUGGAGACGAUGGGUCAGUUCUUCCAGCUACUGAGGACGAAGUUUUUCAGUCUUUGGUCAGUGGUUCGGGAAAUGGCCUUUCGUCUUUUGAUGCUGAUGAAAGUGGCGACGGUGAAGACGACGAAGAAGACGAGGAGGAAGAUGACGAGCGAACUGAGUACGAUACAGAUGAUGAACCAGAUGAGAGGGCUCGAAACAUCCCCUUCCAAGACCUUGCUGCACAAAGACAGAAGCUGAGAGCCCGGCUACAGGUGUUGGAUUCUAUGUUGUUACAAGUAGAUGCCGCGGAGCAAGAACGUAUGGCUGCGGAAAGGGAUGCAUCAGAGAAUGAUCUUGGUCACAAGGACAUUUUCUCUCCAUACUUCAGUGCUGCGGAUGGAAGUGGCGACAAGAGACAGCGUCGACCUAACCCCAAGUAUUUCGGUUUCGAAGCUGGGGAGGAUGGUGCUUCAGGACAACCAGCGCUGAGCUCGAGUAGUGGAGAGCCUAUUCUAACACCCACCAAAGAAGCUGCUGUUUCACCACGAGUGACAUCUGGGUGGGGAUCUCAUCGGAGCUCUGUGCGAUCGGCAAGCACACAUAGGGCUAGAAGUGCAGUUACACAGAAGCCCUUCACUAGAACCGGUACUAAAGUUGUUUCGCCAGUGUCAUUAGCCUCAGGGAUACGUUCUGCUGCUCAUGAGGAAGUCUCCCUGGAAAAUCUUUCCAUUCGUGAACUACACGAAGCAUUUCGCGCGACCUACGGACGCGACACAUCUGUGAAAGACAAGCACUGGCUGAAGCGUCAAAUUUCUGCUGGAUGGAUGGGACAGCGUGAGGCUGCUUUUAAGCCUCAGCCGCCUGUGUCAAGCAAAUUGAAAAUUAGGCUGGAAGAAGACGAUCAUGCUGAGCAACCCCUUCCUUCAGUCGGCCUUACUAGCGUGGGAGCUGUCGAGAGAGAUGCUGCCAAUGAAGCAAAAACAGGAGCUGAGUCUCUUAAGGAUUCGGCUUGGAAUAGCCUGGAGGGUAAAGGCUCUCAACAUGGAAUGACCACUUCAGCCAUUGUGUCUACAGGUGGUAGAUUUGAUGUCUUUAAUACUGGAAGCUUAAAUAGUUCAGAUGCCGCUCGUGGUCAGAUAGCCCUCUACGGCGAGGUAGUAAAUGCUGGAGAGCCAGUCGGUGGAAAAAGACAGCGAAAGCCUAAUCGCAGAUACAUUGAAGAUGAGACUGAAGGAUCUCCUGGUUUUAUUCCAACCAAUGAUAAUAGAUCAUUGUAUGGAGAGUCUGGAGGAAACGGAAUGGAUUCAUCUGCCAAUUUUACCUGGAGAACAGUGGAAACAGAUGGCCCAGCAGAUAUGAUUGGACGGCACGGCACUCUCAGAGGUCCCACAAUACGAAAUGCCUCAAAUAAAAAUGUGUCCGCAGCUCAGCGGCCAAAAAUAGUCGGUGGUAUUGCGAAGCGGAAGCUCGAAGGUAGAGCCUCAACACUGGUUAAAAUGGCUGACCCCGCUCGACCUACGCGGCAAGAUACAGAAGGCAAAGUUCGCAAGGAUGGCUUAUCUGAGUCGAAUGGAGGAGCUGGGGAUCGAGUGUCGGUUUUAAUGCCAAUCGUGCCAUUCGAUCCUUCAGCAAUUUUACAACCCUUGCCUCUAGAUAGCAGGCCAGAGAAUGACCUGCCCAUUGCAACCGUUCCAACUGCUAAUGGGGGAACAAGGCGUAAACAUCACAGACCCUGGACUUUGCGGGAAGUCAUGACGUUAGUUGAGGGUGUUGCACGGUGUGGUGGGGGCAAAUGGGCCGAUAUCAAGAAGCUAGCCUUUUCGAAUGUCGGGUAUAGAACUGCGGUUGAUUUGAAGGAUAAGUGGCGAAACCUCCUACGAGCCAGUCGGGCUCAGCUACAUCCAGCUAAGCAGGGUGAAAGGAAAAAACAGUUCACAGCAGCUAUCCCAGCUCCAAUACUAGCGCGUGUUCGUGAAUUGGCUGCCCUUCAGAAUCAGAUCUCCCCUACUGCGGGGACUGGUAGCAGCACCAUCCGCAGUGGGCGAACUGUACAUAGAAAGUAGCUGUAAUAUGCAUCUGCUGUGUCACUUCCUGAAUUUGAGUUAUUUCCAUUGUUGGCAGCACUUUUCAAUCUUUCUUUCCUCUGGCAUACCCACUACGACCAUAUGGAACUAGUGAUUUUUGAUCUGACAGACAAGUCUGACUGUCUGUCAGGUUCCGUAGAUUCUUCAUUAAACAAAGAUUCCUUGAGACAGCAACUGGGUUACCAACACGGAAUGGUCGAGUGGUCUCAGCCAGGGCCCUGUAAUAACUUCAAGGUUUGUAGGCUCCCAUUGACGUCAAGUCAUAUUGGAACCCGUGACAGUUCCUUCCGUAACAAUGCCUACAUACUGGUCAGCUUCUCUAAAUGAUUUUUAUGAUAUUUGGGUUACUGGGGAAAUGGUCACUGCGCAGCCUUAAAUCUAGUAUUAUGAUAAUCAUCUGUUAAUUGCACGUAUUUGGAGAGGAGCUGCCCACAUCUUGUUUUCUUUAAGAAUUGUUGCAUUCAGUGAUGUGGCUGCGCAUGCUUGACCUACACCAAGAUUGACGUCAGGCAGAUUUACAAUACAAUGCAGUGGUAAUUUUGAUAUCAGGGCAAGAACAUUACUCAAGUUUAUAAUAUGAUUUGGUGACUAUCAAUAUGUUGAUCGAAUUCAGAACCAGUUCAUGUAAUAUUAUCACAACCUGAUAUUUGUUUCAAUUCGGA